UACGUAGGGUGCGAGCGUUGUCCGGAAUUACUGGGCGUAAAGAGCUCGUAGGCGGUUUGUCGCGUCUGCUGUGAAAACUCGGGGCUUAACUCCGGGCCUGCAGUGGGUACGGGCAGACUAGAGUGCGGUAGGGGAGACUGGAAUUCCUGGUGUAGCGGUGAAAUGCGCAGAUAUCAGGAGGAACACCGGUGGCGAAGGCGGGUCUCUGGGCCGUAACUGACGCUGAGGAGCGAAAGCCAGGGGAGCAAACGGG
rnacentral:rRNA from 1 species